CCAAUGUACAUGCCCUUGACCGGAAUCGAACCUGGGACCUUUCAGUCCGCAGACCCGGGGCUCUAUCCACUGAGCCACACCGGCUUCGGCUGCAGAGCCUUUACAGACGCCACAGCAGCCCUGCCCAGGGAGGCAGGUGGCGGUUAGAAUUGGUCCCGCUUUGCAGGUGGGAGCAGAGACCUCUCUAAGGAGGCAGCGUGGCCAAGGCUUGACCCCAGUCUGCAGGGAUAAAGCGGGGCUGUUUCCCGGACCACUGUGUGCCAGCAAACACAGACGGAGGAAAAAGCCCUCACUGUGUGCUGAGGCUACGGGAUCCUGUGGCCCCUCUGCCUCUCUCCCUUGAGAGUCUGGGGGCUGGGGUAGGGUGUGGGAGGGUGCUAAGAUGCCUCCCAGGGGCCUGGGUUGGGGGCUACCCACUGGCGCUACUUGCACCGAAUUUCUUAGUGCCUUUAGGAAGAAAGAGCCAAACAGGUUUCCUGGCCUUGAAAACCCACACCUACCAGUAGCCUCACCAACUUGACUGGCAUCUUUGUGGCCAGAGCUGGAGCACAGAGUCCCAGACCUCUGAGCAGCUGAGGAAAAUGAGGGGUCGUCUCAUUCAUCCCCCCCACCUCAGCCCCCUCUUCCAGGAAGGCCCGGGCAGUCAAAGAGCACGGUGUGCCUUCACACUCCUGUGCUGUGUGUCCUGGGGAAGGUUCCCUCACCUCUCUGAGCCCGGACUCCCCAUUAGUGCCAAGAGGAUAAGGUUCUUGAGGUUGUCCUUUGGGGGCUUGAAGCCAGAGGUUGUGAGCUUGGUGGUUGGGAAAGCUGAGCCUGCAGCUGGAGUUGAACCUGGAAAAAGCAGCAGGAGCUUCUGGGCCCAUCACAGCUGCCUGUUCUCCAAGGUGCUCUGGGCUGGGUUCACUCUUCCCCUCUAUGCACGCAUGUACACACGCAUACAGGUGUGGGCAGGACAGGCAGUUCCUGCUCAUUUAAAUUCCUCAGACACACCCUGAGCCCCUGCUGGCUGAGAGGAAAGGGGCCCCAUCCUCUGACUUCUUCACUCCUAAGAGGCGCCUCUUACAUAAUCAGAGGGAAACAAUGAAGCUGUUUCAGAAGGAAAAUCAGCAUUCAGAACUCGGCAGGCGCUUGUGCUCUUAAAUGCACUAACUUCAGCCCACUGCGUGGAUGCUGACCAUCUUAAAGUGGGUUUCUUGGCAAAGAGCAUCCUCAGAGCCGACAGGUAAAAUAUUUCUCAUUGGCAGGGUCAGCACCAUCCAAUCUCGAGAUUAAAGUUGCCAGACUAAAAGAUGAAAUAAUUUUUUUUU